rnacentral:rRNA from 1 species
CAUGCAAGUCGAACGGCAGCGCGGGAGCAUCCUGGCGGCGAGUGGCGAACGGGUGAGUCAUCAUCGGAACGUGUCCUGUAGUGGGGGAUCGCCCGGCGAAAGCCGGAUUAAUACCGCAUACGAUCUACGGAUGAAAGCGGGGGAUCGCAAGACCUCGCGCUAUAGGGGCGGCCGAUGGCGGAUUAGCUAGUUGGUGGGGUAAAGGCCCACCAAGGCGACGAUCCGUAGCUGGUCUGAGAGGACGACCAGCCACACUGGGACUGAGACACGGCCCAGACUCCUACGGGAGGCAGCAGUGGGGAAUUUUGGACAAUGGGCGCAAGCCUGAUCCAGCAAUGCCGCGUGUGUGAAGAAGGCCUUCGGGUUGUAAAGCACUUUUGUCCGGAAAGAAAUCCUCUGGGUUAAUACCCCGGGGGGAUGACGGUACCGGAAGAAUAAGCACCGGCUAACUACGUGCCAGCAGCCGCGGUAAUACGUAGGGUGCGAGCGUUAAUCGGAAUUACUGGGCGUAAAGCGUGCGCAGGCGGUGAUGUAAGACCGAUGUGAAAUCCCCGGGCUUAACCUGGGAACUGCAUUGGUGACUGCAUCGCUGGAGUAUGGCAGAGGGGGGUAGAAUUCACGUGUAGCAGUGAAAUGCGUAGAGAUGUGGAGGAAUACCGAUGGCG